rnacentral:misc_RNA from 1 species
AAAGUCGUAACAAGGUUUCCGUAGGUGAACCUGCGGAAGGAUCAUUACCGAGUUAGGGUCUCCUAGGCCCGAUCUCCCAACCCUUUGUUUACCGAACCUCUGUUGCUUCGGCGGACCCGCCUCGCGGCCGCCGGAGGACUGCCCCUAAGCCGUCCUCUGGCCAGCGUCCGCCGACAGCCAACCCUUCUAAACUCUGAAUAAAUCGUGUUGUAAAUGUCUAAGUCUAUGAUUCAAAUCAAAUAAAAGCAAAACUUUCAACAACGGAUCUCUUGGUUCUG